AUCCUACUAUUGUUCUCUAGUGUUUAGAUUUCAAAAGGCGUCUCCUUGUUGAAUACAGAAAGAUACCACAUGUUCUGAAAUAGAGUAAAUCAAAGUGAAAUGAGGGUGGUUUGUUUAUUGAUGAGCCCCUCAUUUAGAGUGAGUUUCGUUACCUGCUAAGCAAGAUUUAUGUUUUCCAUAGAGGACUCAAAUAUGAAACAUCCCAAUUUCUACCAAAUUAUUAUAUUAUGAGGAUACGAAAAGAAUUUGUGCUCAGAUAACUAAAGAUGACAUAAUCAAAGAACCUGGAAAUUUUCCACAAGUGAAAGGUCUUUCAUAAUCAAUAAGGACUUUGAGACUUUUUUGUGUUCCCUUCUGAUGUCUGGGAUGGAGAAACAUAGUUUAGGGAAGUUUGUGUGUGUGUGUGUUUUUAACUUUAUUUUGCAUAUAUACACUUGAAAGACUAGAGUUAUUCAUUACUUGUUGGCAUAUUAAAGCAUAUCAACUGUACUAUAGAAUUACUCCUUAGAAAUUAAAAGAGGGAAUCAAAAUUAAUUGUCCAGUUUGGGAGGUAAACUUCUUUAUAAUCAAUCCUAAAAGUUUUAUCAACAGGAAUGCUUUCCUGCUGCUCAUUUAAUUUAUACUUUUGUCUUACUAUAUCAAGAUAUGGGGGCAGCUGAGUGACAUAUAAUUAAAAUCUAUAAUGAAAUAACAGUUUAAAAAAAUAACAGUUUAGUGAUUUAUGAUAUUCAAUCAGAAAGGAGAGAAAAAACCCACAGAAAAAACACUAUCAUUAUUCUCUCUCUUUUUUUUUUUCCUAUUGCAGGACAAAUCAGGUCAUUUUGUGAAACCCAAGCUCUGUUUUGUUCUUGACUUUGAAAAUUUGUGCCAAUGGCCAUGUCUGAAUUAACUGACAUGUAAAAUUUAUUAUUUGCCUGCUCUUAAUUUUUUCUUCACUUGUUAAUCAUUUAUUUUAAAGUAAAACAUAGAUACAGAACUGAAUAAAACAAACAUAUAACUUAAUAAGUUAAUAAAAAUCCGUACCCUUGUAACCACCACUAAGAUCAAGAAAAAGAAUUUGUCCAGCACCCCCCACCACUCCAACCUGAGUCUUAUAUAUAACAUACCAUCACAUCAUAAAUCCCUGGCAUUCUUCAAAAGUAACCAUUUAUCUGACUUUAUAAUAUCACUUGCUUGUUUUUCUUGAUCACACAGAGAUGUCUUCCUAAAUGCUAUGGUUUAGAUUUGUCUGGGGAUGAUUUUUGAGUCUCUUAAAUCCAGUUUCCCCCUGCAUCCUUUUAUUGCCCUUGCAAUUUAUUUGUUGAAAAAGUGGAUCAUUUAGUUCUUUCUAAAUCAGUGGUUUUGACCUUAAAAAGGCAAAGUAUCCCAAUAACCAGCAUAGAGACUUUCUAGGAGGUGCUUUGUAAUUAAUCAGUUAGUCUCUGUUGUUUCCUCUACCUCACACCCCCUGCAUUUCAGUUUUGCUUGGAUGGCCAAGCACAUUCGAACCCAAAAGUUGCCAUGGUGACACCCUGACCGAUGAUGGGAUUCUGAAUUGAUGGGGGGAAAAGCAGGUGUUGCUGCCUCCCAACUGUGACUGGGGAGGAGUGGUGAGUAAAGAAGGCUUUCCCUCUGCAUUUACUCACAGUGUAGCCCAUUUGAAAUACAAAUAGUCUCAAGAGGCUAUCAUUCGAAAAGCUGGAUGAAAUGCACAAGGUGGGAGAGGGCCGAUCUAAUUAGACCUAUGGGAGUCUCUAGAUGGGUUAGGCUCCAUGUUUUAGGAGAGAACUGUGAGCAGGAAGCUCUAUUUGGGCACCUUUUCUGUGCCAAGCUAUUGUACAGGUUUUAACUCUUUUCUAUGACCGUAAGACUUAAGAAUUAAUACCCUAGUUUUGCAGAUGAGGAAUCUGAAAUCCUUAUCAGGAAACAAUCUUCUCAAUGAUAAUCCUUGUUUCCAUGUACAAACUUUUAAAAAACUUUAAUCAGAUGAAACCACUCCAGUAUCUUUUGCACUUAGAAUGAAACCCACAUUCCUUCAUGUGAGACCUGGGCAACUGGACUAGGUCUGACCCCUGCAUAUUUCAUGGCUCUCAACUGCCCCUACAGCUCCCACCUCUGCCCCCAACACUGUGCCCCCGCCACACUGGCCUUUUGCUACACCUUGGAUACAACAGGCUCACACAGCAAGAUUAAGAAAACUCUAGCUUGGUAGGUUUUAUGUUUCAUAUCUUCACUCCGAAGGACAGUGAGCACACACAUAUUCAACAUUGGACUGGAGGCUUUACAUUUGCUUUUUUCUCUUUCUGAAACAUUUCACUGCCACAUUUGCUUAGCCAGAUCUUACAUCUCUUUCAAGACUCAACUUAAUUGUCACUUCCUCAGAGAACUUCCCUGCCCACUCAAUCUACAUUAGCCUUUCCCUGUAAUUAUUUCCUCCACUUACUCUUUUUUCCUCUCUGGCACUUAUCAACACUCUAAUUAUACAUGUAUUUGUUUAACAUCUAUUUCUUCUACGUGACCCCAAAUUACCUUGAGGGUGGGGUAUGUCUCUUUUGUUUACUAUGGUGUCCCCAUGUCUAGAUAGUUCAGGCCCCUGGCACACCAUAGAGUCUCAAUAAAUAUUGAUUGGCAUGUAAAACUGAAAUGAGUGUUAGAGAGGUUAAGUAACUUGUCCAAAGUCACAUAGCUAGUCUGUAUCUGGGCUAGAGAUUUGAAAAACCCUUGUAUUUCUCACUGUAAUUGGUUUUUGCAAACUGUUCCUUUAACACUAGUGUCCUGAUAAGCCUUAAUAGAUGUUUCAAGAAGACAAGAAAGAUCUAUGACCAAAUAUAUAGUGGAUAUCAUUUUGUUUGUUUGUUUGUUUUAUUUGAAUAUAUUUCUUUCCUGGGGGACAUCCAAGAAACUUUAGUAUUCAGAUAGACAUUGUGACUCUCCAAGAAACUGAUAAGGUAUUCAACACUUCUCACUAGAGUUCAGCCAUGAUUUAUUUCCUUCAGUGAAAAUAAUAUCUGGUGGGACACCAGGAUUCAGCAAAAGCCAGGAUGGGAAUCACUCUAUUAUGCACUAUUCCUCCCUAAGAAAUGGGUAAAUAGAACUUUCUAUUGUAAAUGGAGUCUAAAUAUUCCAGUAUUUUAAAAAAAAAGAUUUUAUUUAUUUGAGAGAGACAGAGACAGAGACAGAGACAGAGAGACAGCACAUGUGUUAGAGAGAGACGAAGUUGGAGAGAAGGAGGGAAAAGUAGACUCCUGCUGAGUGUGGAGCUCAAUGCAGCUGGACCUCUGGCUUGAUCCCAGGACUCUGGGAUCAUGACCAGAGUUAAACAUUCAACCAGAUGAGCCACUGGGGGAUCCCCUCCAGUAUUUUUUUAAGUUUUUGCUUCCUGCCUUCUUCUUCCACUAUAAGUAUUGGGGAGAUUGAUCUUAAGGAAACAAGAUUAGAAAGUAGAAAUUAAAGAAAGUGAAGUGAUUCGUGAUUUGGAUUAUUGCAGAGGAGAUAUAAAAUGAUCUAUUUUAAGAAAUAACUGAUUAGAAAAUAAAAACUAAAUAAAUUGUCUGAUAACUUAAAAAUGGUAAGCAUUUUUUUUUUCCCCACCUCAGCAUGCUAUUAAAAAUGACUGAGAUGAUCUUAAAUGCUGACUUCCCUUAAUGGAGAAAGUAUGAAAUUACAAAAUAACCAAUGUAAUCACACCUUAAUCUUGUUAAAUUGAAACACUGUAAUCUACAUUCAAAUUUCACAUAUGGUCAAUCUUGCAAGAGCUGGGUGGAUGAGCCAAAGCACUAUUUGGAAUUUUAAACAGAGAGUCUUUCAUACCUCUCCAAAGUCCAUUUACUUUUUGAAUGAAAAAUAUUUCCCUGGGACUGGGGGAGGGAACCCCUGCCAAAAACAAGGAAAGUAAUUUUUUUUUCUUUUUUGUAAUUGAAAGAAAAAAAAAAAAAGUUUAUUUCCAGAAGCCUGACACCCAUGAUCAGUUCCAUCAUAAAGAAAGCACAGUGCAUUUCAGAAAAAUGUGGAGCUAUAUGAGGAGAAAAGUGGUUUUAGCUUCUUACAAGAGCCAUAUUACAAUCUGUUGAUAGACAUCAUUUCUAAAAAUUAUAGGUAAAGUGAAGCAUUUUCAUCUAAAGCUGGCUGAAUGUGCCUGUCAAUUGAAUGGGCGUGAUAUGUACAAAGCCCUCAUCUGGUCACAGAGCACAAAUUUAGGGGGAGUUUCAAGAGUAGAGGUGAUCACAUCUGAUUUGAAAAAUGGUAGUUCUUAUUCAGUGGUACCACUAAAUGAAAGGCAUUUGACUUUCUGGUGGCCCUUCUAAUGUGACUACAUACACCUCUCUGAUACAAUUAAAUCAUACUGGAAAUGUGCACAACAUAAAAAAAAAA
rnacentral:lncRNA from 1 species